CAAAUUAGAGCUUGAAAAUUUAAAGUAUUUCAUUUACAUUGAAGUGAUAUUAUAGUUAUAUAAUUAAUUUGA
rnacentral:tRNA from 1 species